rnacentral:rRNA from 1 species
AUUGAACGCUGGCGGCAGGCUUAACACAUGCAAGUCGAACGAGUGGCGGACGGGUGAGUAAUGUUUGGGAAUCUGGCUUAUGGAGGGGGAUCACUACGGGAAACUGUAGCUAAUACCGCGUACCAUAGGAUGAGCCCAAGUGGGAUUAGGUAGUGGGUGCGGUAAAGGCUCACCAAGUCGACGAUCUCUAGCUGGUCUGAGAGGAUGACCAGCCACACUGGGACUGAGACACGGCCCAGACUCCUCCGGGAGGCAGCAGUGGGGAAUAUUGCACAAUGGGCGCAAGCCUGAUGCAGCCAUGCCGCGUGUAUGAAGAAGGCCUUCGGGUUGUAAAGUACUUGCAGCGGGGAGGCGUUACCCGCAGAAGAAGCACCGGCUAACUCCGUGCCAGCAGCCGCGGUAAUAC